CAUUACCGAGUGAGGGCCCUCGCGGCCCGACCUCCAACCCACUGUGUACCUAACCACUGUUGCCUUGGUGGGCCGUGGGGCUCUGCCCCCCGCCGGCUCCGGCCGGUGCGCGCCCGCCGAGGUCCCCCUCCACUCUGAUCGUGAUGCAGUCUGAGCAAAGAUAGAAUAAGUAAUAAAACUUUCAACAACGGAUCUCUUGGUUCUGGCAUCGAUGAAGAACGCAGCGAAAUGCGAUAAGUAAUGUGAAUUGCAGAAUUCAGUGAAUCAUCGAAUCUUUGAACGCACAUUGCGCCCCCUGGAACUCCGGGGGGCACACCUGUUCGAGCGUCAUCGUCAUCCUCAAGCAUAGCUUGCUGUUGAGCCUUCGCCCCCUCCCCGGGGCGAGCUCGAAACGCAGUGGCGACGUGGCCUGACCCCAAGCGCAGUGACAUAUCCUCUCGCUUCUGGGAACGGGCACACGGCGGCCGACCAACCUUCUUAUCAGGUUUGACCUCGGAUCAGGUGGGGAUACCCGCUGAACUUAAGCAUAUCAAUAAGCGGAGGA
rnacentral:rRNA from 1 species